CAAGAUUCUGCUUUGUUUCCUUCUGAUGAUGGAGGCUUAACUGAUGGGGUGAAGACAAAUGACUUUCUCAGCAAUCGUGUCUAAAUGGAAGAAUUCUUCACCCUGUGAGCUCAGGGGUUUUCUCUUUUGCUGUGUGACCACCAGAUGGCCAAAAAGGAGCUGUCUUAAGGUCUCAGGUUUUGGCCCUGAAAUCUCAGAGCCUGGGAUACCCCUGACCUGGCAACCGUAUGCGAUGCAUGAUGUAUUUGACUAUGCUGUGCCCCACCUCAAGCCAAAAGAAGAGGCAGGCUGCUUCCCCCUUCACCAUUUGAAAUGUGAAAAAAUCAACCUUGGAAGUUGUUGGAUGCCGACUCUGUAUUGUGGUGGUGGGAGGGAUAAUGUACUACAUAUUUUAUGUAAAAAUGCU
rnacentral:lncRNA from 11 species